CUUGUUGCCUUACAUCGUGCUUAAACUGCGCUUGCACAAUUGAUGCCCACCAAACGCCGAAACGUUAUCGAAGAAGAGCGCGCUGAAGCCGAGACAACCGAAGGACCUCUCUGCCGUUCGGACUCGGCCACUGGUUACAGGAAAAUGUUCUGGAGCUAGAAGGUUUCGAACAUUGAAAUACCACCCGAUCGCCAAACACGCAUCGGAAUGUACCUCCUGCUCGGCCGUCCUCCCCUCUACUAAAGGAUCACGUUUCGUUUGUUUUCGGUGCACAGCCGGCUGCAUCAAUGGAACACUUCAAAAUGUUCUCGGACUUGGUGCCUGUGUUGGAGAUGCCGGAAACCUAUGCAUUGAAGACAGCAAAGGAAUUGUUACCCUGGUCGAAAAACUAGUAGAGUGCUCUUUAGAGAGCAUAUCUUCCCUGAACCUGCCAACGCAACUUCACGUCGCUGGGGCGCUUGUCCAGUUUAUUCUUCGAAGGAAUAACUUGGGCUUGGUGGCCGAUUUACUUGACCUCCUAUGCGGCACAGUAACGGGAGCAAUCAAAAGCG